rnacentral:lncRNA from 10 species
CAACAAGAUAUUCCAACAUGAUACUUCAUUUAGAGGGGACUACGUGAGGAAUCUAAUAAGUAUGAAAUCUAUCACUGGAAACAUGCAUGUUAAAGAACAUAAGUAUUGGUGUUCCCGGAGUCUAGCUCCAUGCUUAUUAGUGCCACUGAUGAUUUCUAUCUGUGCUACAGAUCUGCUGUUCUCAGGCAAUGAGUUAGGAAGUUUCUCUGUGCUUUAAUUUUCUGGAAGAGACAGAAAAAUGAGUAUCUUUUCUUUCUUCAAUGUUUGUUAGAAUUUACCAGUGAAAUCAUUUGGGCUUGUUGCUUUGUUUUUUUUUUUUUUUUUUUGCAAUAUUAUUAUUGAUAUAAUUUUUAACAUAAAUAUGAAGCUAUUCAGGUUAUCUGUUUGAACAUGUUAUAAAAUUACAUGUUGCCUCAUCUCUUACAAUAUCAAUUGUAUCUCUUUUACAAAUUUUAGAGUGGUUGACCUAGAGUUUCCAGAAUACAUUUUUAGACUAACCUAAGUCCAUUUUGAAUUAACAUUUUUAGGGUAGCGAUCUUAUAACAGUUAUCCCAAUGUUUCCCUCCAUCCUUUAUGAUAUAGAUGUACCAAUGUCAUUCACUCUACUUAUCCAUAUGUUAAAAUCAUCCAGUCUAUUUCUAUUAUUAUUUUAAAUGCCUAUCUUUUAAAUCAAUUAAAACUAGGGGCUGCGCACGGUGGGUCACGCCUGUAAUCCCAGCACUUUUGGAGGCCGAGGCGGGCGUAUCACAAGGUCAAGAGAUCGAGACCAUCCUGGCUAACACGAUAAACCCCGUCUUGACUAAAAAUACAAAAAAUUAGCUGGGCGUGGUGGCAGGCUCCUGUAAUCCCA